AGCCACAUCCAUGCUAUCUCCUAAAGCAGUCAUUCUGAAACCCAAUCUGGGGACAGUGCAGACUAAAUAAAAUUUCAUUUUGAUUUGGCCUCCCGCUGCGAAUGGGACUGCUUUGUCUCAGCCGACAGAACCAGCAAGCCAGAAAGGGAAUGAAGACAUUUGGAGAAGAAGCGUUUACUGAAAGGAGAUUCCUGGGCUGGAGGAAAACCAUGAUCUACAGUUCAUGUUGACAGAUAUUGUAUUUUUGGUCCUAGAUCUGACUUUUGAAAUGACUUAUCACAAAUUCAAAUUUAGCAAUCAUGAGUGAAGUACCCACGAUGUGCUAAGCAUCUACCUCUGCAGAUAGAAGAACACUUACUGUUCCUGAGCAUGGGAGGGAAUAGAAGUUCCUGGGUCCUGGCCUCACCUCAUCAGGCACUGCCAAAUUUGACACCUCCUUCCUGUUCACGGCAGUCCUUUGCGAUAGGGUAUUAGAUGCCACCAAGUAGCUGCAUAACUCACCCAUUUGGUCAGAGCCUGGGUCUAAGCCAGGUCUGACAGACUCCAAAGCAAGCCCUGUUUACAGCAUGACUGGGAUCCAGUGGACGAGGGAACUGAGCUGUCAAAACUAAGUGACUUGAUUGAGGCCAUGCAGCUGGCGAGGGGAGGACCAGGAUCUGAACCCAACUGGGUCUCCCAAGCCUGGGCCACUGAACCAUUUCACCUCUUGGAAAAACUUAAUGGUCAGAGUGGCCCACCCAGUCCAUGGACAGCAUGGAGGAUAAACUGCUUCCCUAGAAAUCCUCUCCAGCAUUCUUGCCACCACGACUUUGGGACACAUUGACCAUGAGGAGGAGCUGGUCAAUGAUGGACAGGAGUCCAGAUUAGCAGAGAUGUGGUAAUAAGGACACCGAUGCCUAAAUACUUGAAAUAUCCAAUAGGAAGCAUUCCACCUUUGUGCAAAUGCGAACCACAUCUCACCAAGUUCAGGCCAAGGCUGCCACCGGUGACGUUUUGGAAAAGAAAAAAAAAAGCGGGGGGAGAGGAGAGAAACAGAGAAGCAAGGAAUGCAGAAGAGAGCAGAGGCCACAAAAACAGCAGCAACGUGUCCUGUGUAUUCUGUUUCCUUGUAAAACUAUGAAGCAUGUUAAGGAGAUACUUCAUUUUUUGAGGAUUCAUACUCUUGUUUAUAUUAUAAUAAAAACAACCCAUGUUCUUUCUAAAAAUUUAGGCAAUGCCUUCGUGCACAUAAAAGUAAAACAAAAUCACCUGUAAUCCUACCACACGCAGAUCAGCACUUGCUAAUCUUUUCACAGGGAUCCUAAGAAUAUCCUAUUCUCUAUAGAAUAUAGUUGAUUUAUGUUACCUAAUAACUAACUGUUAACCAUUUUAAAAUUCUUCAGUUUUACAUUAUGCUAGAAAAAAGGAGCCGUCACUCUACGUGACAUUUCUGUAUAUUGGUUUAUUCAUUCAAUAAACAUUUUUUAAGUACCUA
rnacentral:lncRNA from 1 species